UACAUGAUUUACCUCUGGACAUUCAUGUAAUUUAUCCAACUUUUGUACGCAGCUGGGCAAGACCAUUCUAGUAGUCCCUGCAAAAUUUGAACAAAUUCAGACACCGUGCAUAUUACGGCUAGUAUUUUAGGGGUUUUUCACCGGAAAACCUUAGAAAUCGCAAAAAAUGUCAAAAGGCGAUGAAACUUGGCAUGUCUGCUUGCCAAGAUGAUUCUAGGGUGUGAAUUGUUUUUGGUUCAUUUGAUGUGUGUGGAAAAAAAGUGAUAUGGGAC
rnacentral:lncRNA from 1 species